rnacentral:rRNA from 1 species
AGUGAACGCUGGCGGGAGGCCGAACACAGGCAAGGCGAACGGCAGCACAGGAAGAGCGGGCGCGGACGGGGGGCGAGGGGCGGACGGGGGAGGAAGACAGCGGAAGCGACGGGGGCGGGGGGGAGAACGGAGGGAAACGGACGCUAAUACCGCAGACGACCUACGGGUGAAAGCAGGGGAUCGGCGGACCUUGCGCGAUUGGAUGAGCCGAUGUCGGAUUAGCUAGUUGGCGGGGUAAAGGCCCACCAAGGCGACGAUCCGUAGCUGGUCUGAGAGGAUGAUCAGCCACACUGGAACUGAGACACGGUCCAGACUCCUACGGGAGGCAGCAGUGGGGAAUAUUGGACAAUGGGCGCAAGCCUGAUCCAGCCAUACCGCGUGGGUGAAGAAGGCCUUCGGGUUGUAAAGCCCUUUUGUUGGGAAAGAAAAGCAGCAGGUUAAUACCCCGCUGCUCUGACGGUACCCAAAGAAUAAGCACCGGCUAACUUCGUG